UACGGGGGGGGGCAAGCGUUUGUUCGGAAUUACUGGGCGUAAAGGGCUCGUAGGCGGCCAACUAAGUCGGAUGUGAAAUCCCCAGGCUUAACCUGGGAACUGCAUCCGAUACUGGAUGGCUUGAAUUCGGGAGAGGGAUGCAGAAUUCCAGGUGUAGCGGUGAAAUGCGUAGAUAUCAGGAGGAACACCGGUGGCGAAGGCGGAUCUCUGGGCCAUUACUGACGCUGAGGAGCGAAAGCGUGGGGAGCGAACAGG
rnacentral:rRNA from 1 species